rnacentral:tRNA from 1 species
ACUUGAUUAGUUUAAUUAUAAAACGUUGAUUUGUGGGGUCAGUAAUGUAUUUUUACAUCAGGUU